UACGUAGUUAGCCGUCCCUUUCUGGUAAGUUACCGUCACUGUGUGAACUUUCCACUCUCACACACGUUCUUCUCUUACAACAGAGCUUUACGAUCCGAAAACCUUCUUCACUCACGCGGCGUUGCUCGGUCAGGGUUGCCCCAUUGCCGAAGAUUCCCUACUGCUGCCUCCCGUAGGAGUCUGGGCCGUGUCUCAGUCCCAGUGUGGCCGAUCACCCUCUCAGGUCGGCUAUGUAUCGUCGCCUAGGUAGGCCGUUACCCUACCUACUAGCUAAUACAACGCAGGUCCAUCUCGUAGUGAUGCAAUUGCAUCUUUCAAGCUUCUAACAUGUGUCAAAAGCUGUUAUGCGGUAUUAGCUAUCGUUUCCAAUAGUUAUCCCCCGCUACAAGGCAGGUUACCUACGCGUUACUCACCCGUUCGCAACUCAUCCAAAAGAAGCAAGCUCCUUUCUUCAGCGUUCUACUUGCAUGUAUUAGGCACGCCGCCAGCGUGUCU
rnacentral:rRNA from 1 species